AGCUUUAGGGCGGUUAUUCUAAACUGAUCUAUAGAAGAGCUCUGAGAGACAUAUAAAGGGAGCUGUUAUGAAUGAAUUCUUGCAUUCUUCUCUGCAAAUCUCUUCUCUACCUGUAAUUCUUCUAUGUUUUCUAUCCUUUCUAGUUCAAUUUUGUUUUAGUUUGCAUCAAUGGUAUCAGAGCUCCUGAUCCUCGGCCAUGGCAAACGAUGGAAUAAUAUCUCUAGGCUUUCUUUUCUCUCUCUCAGUUCUUCCUUCUUCUCUCGCUAAUUCUUUCUUUUCCAAAACUGUAACUCAUCAUUCUAUUGAUUCUUUCCUCUGUAUUUGCUUCCUCCUCCUCCAUUAUUGAACCUAGCCCUCUCCCCUGUUCUUAAAAUUUUUUGUUCUCUCUCUUCUUUUCUUGGUUACGAAACCAUCCAUUAUGAUUCAUCUACAUUUUUCUCAUUCUAUCUCUAAAUUUCACCCAUUGGAUCACACCAAAUUUCUACCAUGGAUUAUGUUCCUUUCCCAGUUACAAAGAACUUAUCAGAAUUGAAUGAUAGAAGGUGUAAGGGCUUGUGCUUGUGGUGUGAUGAGCAAUUUACCUCUAGCCAUAAUUGUGAUAAGGCACCAUUUACAUUGAUGAAAAUAAUGAAGAAUUGCAAGAAAUCCAAGAAAAUGUUUCUGCCAUUGAUGAUACUGUUCAACAAGACUGGUUGUCAACAGUUGUCAAUGGCAAUGUUCAACAAGAAUGCCCACCAAUCUUGCAGCCUCCUGAAUGUUCUAAAUGGGAUGAAGAAGACAAAGAUUCUGAGAAUUCAACCUUUUCUUUGCUUCAAAUAUCACUUUCGGAUGAUCAAAAUUUUUUAAAGAUGGAAGAUCAUGCAACUAUGCCCAUGCUUUUGGUUUAGGUUAAUAUCAUUAAUAAGAGAUGCAAGGGGCUUUACCAAUUGGAUAAGCGAAAAAGUGAGGUUUCAACUUUCUUGGAUAUCCAUGAUAUAGCUGGAUUAAUUAGAGGUGCCUAUGAGGGGAAAGAAUUGGUAAAUAGUUUCUCAUCUCACAAUUAUGCAGUUGAUAGCAGUUUUCAUUUGUUGAAGAAUGUUUUAGAUUCAUUUGUUGGUAUUGAAAUGGGUGCCAUGGAUUGUUAUGAACGAUAUUUUGAAAUAUACAUGCUUCAAGAUACUGGUGAGUACUAUUUUCCUAAGGCAUCAAAUUGGAUUUUGGAGAAUGUUUAUCUAGAUUAUAUGCUGAAGGGUUUUUUUUGGCAAGAUUUGAUGCAAGAUGAAAUCAAUAUUAAAUCAUUCCAUUAGGCAGUUGAACAAGAUCAAAUGCAAGAUGAAGGAGUUGUGCUAGAAAAAAAAUUUUUUUUUUCUCUCUUCAAAAUUCAACUUCCUUUAGCAGAGAUUUCUUAGGCAUUAGAAUUUGUUUUCAGUUUUCCUUAAGGAACAGGAAACUUAAGGGGGAGGUAUUGAUAGGUGUCUAAUGUUGAUUGGUGUUCAACUUCCUUUAGCAGAGAUUUCUUAGGGCAUUAGAAUUUGUUUUCAGUUUUCCUUAAGGACAAGGAAACUUAAGGGGGAGGUAUUUAAAGGUGUCUAAUGUUGAUUGGUGUUGGUUGUUACGCUUUAGGGCUGUUAUUCCAAACUGAUGUAUAAAAGAACUCUAGAGACUUGUAAUGGGAGCUGCUAUGAAUGAAUUCUUGCAUUCUUCUCUGCAAAUCUCUUCUCUUCCUGUAAUUCUUUUGUCUUUUCUUCCCUUUCUAGUUCAAUUCUGUUUUAGUUUGCAUCAGACUGCCAGACGUUUAGGUUGAUCAGCUGAAGCACACUAGUUACCUGCCUCUUUUUGCAAGGUCUCAAUUUUAUAUCUCCUCUGCCUGUUUAUUGCCUUGGAAUGAAAAUAUUUUAUGUUUUUGUCCUCAUUAUUAUUUUAAUCAGCAAUAGAAUUCUGAAACCAAAAUAACUCCUCUUGAAUCAAUACUGUUUCCAACUCAAGCUUAAGAGAAGUUUCAACAUCCAACAAGUACUGAGAAUUAGGAUGCUUCUCCAGAGCCCUUUCGGCUCCUGCAAUGCGUCUCAGUAAUCUGACUUUUUGUUUACGAAUGCUCCCAAAGAUCUCCCUAUUCUAGUCCUGAGCAGCAGAAGAAAAUGGAAAACUCGUAAUGCAGCUAUCUUUGAUGGAGUUCAGCCAGAUCCAUAGAAGACAAUUAAAAGGGUCCAUGAAGACUUUGAGGAGGGACAGCUCAAAACCCCUCCACAAAUUCCGUCUUCGUCGGAUUCAGAUCGAAAUGUGUUGACAAGGUUUCCCUCUGUUCAAGAAGACUAUUAUUUCGGUGGAUGCUUCCUUUGAGCAGAACAUGGGUAACGCUGGCUAUGGAAUCCUUGUUAGGAAUAGGAGUGAUUUUUUGGUUGAUGGUUGUGCAUCUGCUUUUGUUGCCUUGUCGCCAGCUACUACGGAAGGGAUGGCUUUGAGGGAAGCAAUUCUUUUAGCUUCCAGAAGAGGGUUCAUGCCAUGUGUGAUUAAUAGUGAUGCUCUUCAGCUGUUUCAGUUGUUGUUCUCCUCCUCCCUUUCUUGUCCUUGGGAUCUUGAGGCUAUCAUGCAGGAUUGUCGGAUGAUGUUAGCAGUCUAUCCUUUAAUCUCUAUUAAAAAUGUAUCUAGAAAUGCUAAUUUGAGUGCUCAUUGGAUGGCAAAUGCUGUUAGAUUGGGAAAGAUUAGUCCAGGAUGGAUGUCAAAUCCUCCAGAUCAGUUAGUUCUUU